UACGUAGGGGGCAAGCGUUGUCCGGAAUUAUUGGGCGUAAAGAGCGUGUAGGCGGUCCGGUAAGUCGGCUGUGAAAGUCCAGGGCUCAACCCUGGGAUGCCGGUCGAUACUGCCGGACUAGAGUUCGGAAGAGGCGAGUGGAAUUCCCGGUGUAGCGGUGAAAUGCGCAGAUAUCGGGAGGAACACCUAUGGCGAAGGCAGCUCGCUGGGACGUUACUGACGCUGAGACGCGAAAGCAUGGGGAGCAAACAGG
rnacentral:rRNA from 1 species